GUGUGUGUGUGUGUGUAGAUGAAUAUGAAGACUGUAAGGAGUGUGUGUGUGUGUGUGUGUGUAGAUGAAUAUGAAGACUGUAAGGUGAGUGUGUGUGUGUGUGUGUGUGGAUGAAUAUGAAGACUGUAAGGUGUGUGUGUGUGUGUGUGUGUGUGUGUAGAUGAAUAUGAAGACUGUAAGGUGAGUGUGUGUGUGUGUGUGUGGAUGAAUAUGAAGACUGUAAGGAGUGUGUGUGUGUGUGUAGAUGAAUAUGAAGACUGUAAGGUGUGUGUGUGUGUGUGUGUAGAUGAAUAUGAAGACUGUAAGGUGUGUGUGUGUGUGUGUGUGUAGAU
ensembl:lncRNA